CUCCAAGCAAAUCUUCUCUUGAGGACAAGUAAGGAAUUUCACCAGUUGAACAAACUAGACGUGCUCCAGACACCAAGCACACAUUUCUUUCAAGCAUUGGAUGGAACAGCACAGAAAAUGCUGAGAGCAAACACUGCAGGAAGAAAUUGAUCAAACCAGUGAGAUCUUCUCUUCCUUGGAAAAAAAGAAGCAUCCAAACAUCCUGCUAUCUGGGCAGUGUGAACACAUGGAUUUUCAGCCUCAACAUAUCACAUCUAAUGCACUGUUCUGUACAAUAUGGUAAAUAAAAAAAAUGCAGGGUGUAUACAAUUUGUCUUAGCUCUAUAAAAUGAGGCAAAAUGCUUGUGAUCUGGUUAUGCAAAGAAAAUUAAAAUGUUUUAUAAAACCCCUUCUCCUUCUCAGAAAGGACUGGAAAGACCACUUUGUUUAAUUAAGCUAUUU
rnacentral:lncRNA from 1 species